GCCAAGUGCCACCAUCUUCUUCAUCUCCGAUGAGUCCCCAUCCCUUCCUUUGCUUCUUUCUUAGCUGAGGUAGCUGCCAUGAGGGCAGCUAGAGGGCGAUGCCCCUUUCUCUCUACUCUUCCCCCUUUCUGGCCAACUACCACUACUGUCGUCAGCAUCUGACCGCUACUAGCACUAUCCGAUUGACUUCGCUGUCGGCCACCGCCAAUCCCAACCCUCCUUCUUUCCUUUGCUUUCCCUUAAGAAAGUCUUGGUUCAAUUUGAGAAGGAGAGCGAGAGAGAGAGGGGGCAGGAGAGAGAGAGAGAAUGAAGGAGAAGGAAAAAAAGAAAGGAACAAAAAAGAAAGAAAGAAAAAAAGGGGGGCACAUAGAAAGCUUUUUGUAAAAUCAUCCCAU
rnacentral:lncRNA from 1 species